CAGUCGCCGCGGUAAUACAGAGGAUGCAAGCGUUAUCCGGAAUGAUUGGGCGUAAAGCGUCUGUAGGUGGCUUUUCAAGUCCGCCGUCAAAUCCCAGGGCUCAACCGUGGACAGGCGGUGGAAACUACCAAGCUGGAGUAUGGUAGGGGCAGAGGGAAUUUCCGGUGGAGCGGUGAAAUGCGUUGAGAUCGGAAAGAACACCAACAGCGAAAUCACUCUGCUAGGCCGACACUGACACUGAGAGACGAAAUCUAGGGGAGCAAAUGGGAUUAGAUACCCCCGUAGUCCCUGUCUCUUAUAC
rnacentral:rRNA from 1 species